rnacentral:tRNA from 1 species
AACAGAGAAGUAAAAUAUUUACAUUUAGUUUCGACCUAAAAAUUAGGAAAAUUUCCCAUGUUU